rnacentral:rRNA from 1 species
GAUGAACGCUAGCUACAGGCUUAACACAUGCAAGUCGAGGGGCAGCAUGAACUUAGCUUGCUAAGUUUGAUGGCGACCGGCGCACGGGUGAGUAACACGUAUCCAACCUGCCGAUGACUCGGGGAUAGCCUUUCGAAAGAAAGAUUAAUACCCGAUGGCAUAGUUCUUCCGCAUGGUAGAACUAUUAAAGAAUUUCGGUCAUCGAUGGGGAUGCGUUCCAUUAGGUUGUUGGCGGGGUAACGGCCCACCAAGCCUUCGAUGGAUAGGGGUUCUGAGAGGAAGGUCCCCCACAUUGGAACUGAGACACGGUCCAAACUCCUACGGGAGGCAGCAGUGAGGAAUAUUGGUCAAUGGACGAGAGUCUGAACCAGCCAAGUAGCGUGAAGGAUGACUGCCCUAUGGGUUGUAAACUUCUCUUAUACGGGAAUAAAGUGAGGCACGUGUGCCUUUUUGUAUGUACCGUAUGAAUAAGGAUCGGCUAACUCCGUGCCAGCAGCCGCGGUAAUACGGAGGAUCCGAGCGUUAUCCGGAUUUAUUGGGUUUAAAGGGAGCGUAGGCGGACGCUUAAGUCAGUUGUGAAAGUUUGCGGCUCAACCGUAAAAUUGCAGUUGAUACUGGGUGUCUUGAGUACAGUAGAGGCAGGCGGAAUUCGUGGUGUAGCGGUGAAAUGCUUAGAUAUCACGAAGAACUCCGAUUGCGAAGGCAGCCUGCUGGACUGUAACUGACGCUGAUGCUCGAAAGUGUGGGUAUCAAACCAGG